GAGAGAAAGAGAGAGAGAACGAAAGAAAGACUGUCAACCACAACCUCCUCACAAAAAUGUGACUUUGGCAGAAGUAGAUUUGAUCAUGCCACGGUUAGCUUCACAGAUCUUUAGUGAGUGAAUGACUAUGGGUGCGUGAUUAAAGGCAUGAUUAAACCCACACUCACGACAGCACUGAGAUUAAGACAGCUGAGGUAUUUUGUUGAAUCGAACAUCUCUAAAAACCUGAGAAAAAACAUCAUGUAGAAAAGAGCCGGUGGGGUCCGUGACGAGCUUGAACAGCUGAGGAGUUUGUAAAAGUGUCUGUGUGUGUGGUCCCUCCUUUUGGCUGGAAGGAAAACACAGCUGCGCGCUUGUGCUGGAGGCAGAUUGUGAUUCAUCAAACCACCUCUAGAGGGCAGAACGGCUCAUGCGCUCCACUGGAAAUGACAGUAGUUUUGGGCUGGACUGGCAGGGUUGUUUUUGGUAACAGGUUUUGGGAGGUGUUGGUGCUGGUUAGGGUGACCCGCCUCUUGCUGAAGCGCGAGACUUUGCUUCCUGAGGAACUCCAAGCCUUCGCUUUCCUCUUCUUCACUCCCAUCUUCUCCAUCCAUCAUCUCGUCGUCAUCAUCUUCAUCCCCCUCAGAGCCUCUUCCUCUGUCCAUC
rnacentral:lncRNA from 1 species